rnacentral:piRNA from 1 species
UUCAAUGAGAGGAGAUAAGACACUUAAAU